rnacentral:rRNA from 1 species
AUGGGGGAAGCCUUAGUGGUGGAUCAAGCAGCAAGAGAAGAAGAAAAAGAAGGAGGAGGAGCACAAGCGGUGGAGUUUGGAGCUCAAGAGAAGGAGAUGCAACACCCUCACUACGGCGACAGGGUGGGCAACCCGUUUGCCAAGAAGCCAAAGCACAAGCCGGCGGUGCGGCUGGAAAUGGCGCUGCCAUCGAUAGUGCUACCCUCCUUCAUCCUUCAAAGGCAUGACGGACGCCCCAACCCCAGUGGAAGAUGUGGAUGGGCCGGAAUGCUUUCGUUGUGGUCGCCUGGGUCACUUCCAGCCGCAGCGUGA